CACACAAAUUUGGAGGGCAAGUCUGGUGCCAGCAGCCGCGGUCGGCUCCAAUAGCGUAUAUUAAAGUUGUUGCAGUUAAAAAGCUCGUAGUUGAACUUUAGGCCCGGUUGGACGGUCUGCUCUAGGGUUUGUACUGUCCGACUGGGUCUUACCUUCUAGCAAGCUGUCGUGUUGUUUACUCAGUGCGGCAGGGAGCUAGGACUUUUACUUUGAAAAAAUUAGAGUGUUUAAAGCAGGCAUCCGCUUGAAUACAUUAGCAUGGAAUAAUAGAAUAGGACUAUGGUUCUAUUUUGUUGGUUUCUAGGACCAGGGUAAUGAUUAAUAGGGAUAGUUGGGGGCAUUAGUAUUUAAUUGUCAGAGGUGAAAUUCUUGGAUUUAUGAAAGACUAACUACUGCGAAAGCAUUUGCCAAGGAUGUUUUCAUUAAUCAAGAACGAAAGUUAGGGGAUCGAAGACGAUCAGAUACCGUCGUAGUCUUAACCAUAAACUAUGCCGACUAGGGAUCAGACAACGAUCUUUUGACUUGCU
rnacentral:rRNA from 1 species